GCUACCAACAGCGUCGAAGAACCCUUGAGUCCAAGAAAGUCAUCUUUCCCUUCAAAUUUUUCCACGGUCUCUGAAGAAGAAGAUAUUAAUCGGCAUCAAGAGGCAACUCAACUGGGUGAUCAAACAGUUAGAAACGACCUCGGUUUGUGGAAAAGGGUUUUAUCUAAAGUCGAACGCAAUCUAGUUAUACUAUAUGGACCACCUCAAAAUCCGGCACUUUUUCCUAGAUAUUCUACAAACAAAAAAGUUCCUGUUUUUUACGAAACUUCUCUCAACAGAGAGAAGAUCAACAGAGACUGGCUUAUCUGGAGUGGAACUACUAAAGCUUUUGUUUGUUUUUCCUUCUCUAUUUUUGAACAAAAGCAUAAUUUUGGCCCUGGAAUUCAAUCUUUUCUCUUGAUGUGGGGUGGCGGAAUAAAAGAUAACUGACAAAAGCUAGAAGAAAAGAUUAAAAGCCACUAGUGCAAUGUUCAACGCAGAAAUCACUACAUCGUCUGGAAAUCAGCCUUUAAAGCUUUAAAUCAGACCGGAAAUUGAUUUAAAAGACCGGGAUUGAUUCAGAACUUGAAACGUCAAUAAGAAAUCUAGGCAUCUAAGUGGUAUAAUGUUUUACGCUACGUCUUGGAUGUCACUCUCCAUUUAGCUUCAAGAAGUCUAAAUUUUCAAGGUUCAUCAAACAUGCUGGACAAGUAUGAUAAUUGUAAUUUUUUAGCCACCCUUGAGCUGUUGGGGAAACAAAAUAAGACACCAAAAUUCUUCUAGCAGAUGUUUCUCGAUACCAAAAACAAGGAACAAGAAUGCAAGCGCACUAUUUGAGCUGGAGAACUCAAAAUGAGUUCAUUAUGGCAAGUGGUGAAACUGUUUUUGCUGCUAUUACCGAAGAGGUCCGCACAGCCAUUAAUUUUUCCAUUAUUGUUGAUUGAACUCCGGACGUGUCAUAUACAAAUCAUUUUCAUUCUUCGAUUUGUCCGCCUAGGAUCUGACAACCAAUUGAUAGUAAAAGAGCGUUUUCUGAAGGUAGAAAAUCUGGAGAAAAAAAGGGAUUUGACUUGGUAUUAAAUAUUGGCGUAUUCUUCCUAGAUUGUAGACGGACACGUAUCAUAAUAUCUCUAUUUAUCUCGCCACAAAUCGAUGCGGAAACUUCUGUCACAAUCUUUACCCAGCGUUCCACUGCUUGCGUGUGGCACGGUAACUUAUCCAAAAAAUCAGAUAGUAGAAUGUGAUGAUCUUUUACCUCCUCCAGCAGUUUGUCAGUGAGCUGCAUUGUUAAUGGUGGCUCCAACAGCUGAAAAUUACUCCAAUCAAUCAACUCCCACGUAUUAUUUGCCAUAAAAUUCAGAGUAGGUAGUUUGAACUGAUGCAUACUUGAUUGGUUAGCUUUCAUAAUUCUUUCUUUUCUAGCUCUCUGUAUACGCCUAACACCUAAUUCUUCGAUAUGUGGCUGAUCAUCUAAUACGAUUGCCAGAAUAUUCUCUUGAUCACCAUAAAAUGCAUUUGUUUGAACUAUUUUGUCUACUACUUUACGUAAUGGAACCAGCAGAUAUCGUGAUUUUGCAAUUGUGCUGUACAGAUACCUGCUGCCAUGAAAGAAAGAAGAUUCUUUCUUGAUGAUGAACCACAUAGGAGCAUAAACUCGCAUAAUGAACGUAAAUAAAAUUACCAAAUUUGACGAGGGACUGCUGGUAGAAACAUAUAUUCUGAGGAUCCUAUUGGCAGUGGUGAGCCACUUAAAAUGAUCCAUUUUCCCAGGGCUGCGCUUCUUCAGGUUGGUAGAACAAAUACCACUUAAUACUGCUUGGCAGAUGUCAAAAAGAUAAAGUUGAUUUGUACUGAGAACUUUUCUGUCCACCUCUGGCAUUUCUACAUCAUGAUUUCUAGGUUAAAAAUCAACAACCUUUAAGACCUCACAAGUUUCAAGGGACUUUCCAAUUAAGCCUGAAUAGCAUCUAGGACCAGAUGUUGGACUAUCCAACUCUGCAAACAAAUGGCGUAGUUGAAAUUUGUUUACAUGUAGCAAACAAAUUACCCAUUGUAGAGGCUGUUGGAGUACUAAUUCGAUCAAUCCACCAUUGUUUCCCGUGUUUACAUUUGUUCCAUCACAACCCACCAUUUGCAAAUUAUCCAAGAUAAUAUUGUGCUUUUUAGAAUUGUAGAAUUGAAAUUUUAGUGAUUCAGCUGUUCCUCUAAGAGAAGUGCAGUGUCCCAAGUAACCUCCUCCAGGUUCCUAAAUCAAGGAUAUGUACUCCUGUAUCACUAUGAUUCUUUUAUUACUGUAAAAAUUGAGUGUUUGGUUUUUUUGCCAUCAAAGUACAACGCCUUUACUUGGAUUUCACCAACAUUCUGGUUAUCCCUUGUUUUUAUGCACUCACGCCUGAUCUUGCUGCGGCUAAUAACUUGUGUUUUGUUAUCAUAUGAAAUGAUAAUAAAAAAUAUCUUUUAAAUGAGUUAAAAGUAUUACAAUAACCUUUUCAAUGCAAAAAUGAGUAUUUUGGUCAUAUAAUA